CCCUUGCACUCCAGCCUUGGUGACAAGAGUGAAACUCUGUCUCAAAACAAACAAACAAACAAACAAACAAAUGGAGUGCAUUUGACUCUUAUGGGAUGUUUUAAUGGAGCACAGCUGUUUGAUUAUCUGCAUUAAACCAGACUUUGUUCUUCUAUUGUUCCUUCCAACUUUGUUUUAAUAGUUCAGGAUGGAUGCGGCAAAAUUAGUGUCUGUUUGUAUAUUACGUUUAUAAACAAAAACUUGUGUAGAAAAGUCCAUGGGGGUUAACAACACUCAGAACAACGUGUGGAACUCCAGACUGGAGCACACUCAUCCCAUAAUCUGCUGAGGAAUCAUUGUCUACUUAACUGCUCCUGUUUAUUAAACCUAUUAAUUGCAUUUGAUACUCUGUCUGCGUCAGUGGUCAUUACUCAUUAACUUCUCUACUCAAACCAGUGUGCCAACUUAAGGUUUUACUGUGACAGUGAAGGACUCCACUGUACCCACGCCAGAGAUCAUGAGGAUAGGCCCUGUUGAGUUGAAUAUUGAAUAGUACCCACAGCCAUUCCUUCAACAGACUAAGUGGUAUGGAGAAAAACAAGAAAAAAGGAAGCAAGGUUUGGAAAAACAGAGUAGUCAAAUAUUAGAAGUACUCUGAUAACUCCUUCAAGAUUAUUUUGGUCCUCUCACCUCUUCCUACGUGCUAUGACUCAAGGGCAUAAAAUUGUUGAUACCAUUUCUGAGGGAAUGAUAAAGACGGAGGGGUCCUCUUUUACCUUCUCCCAUUAUUACAAUAUCCUGACUUUUAAUCAAACUAGUUUCAUUAUGGGAAGAACUGGAGGCUCUCCGUUGGUGAAUAAAAUACAAGGCAAUUCAUUUUAAGACUUUGUGAGAUGAAGGCAUGUUAGUGGGAGCCCUGGAUGGGAAAGGAAGUAGACUGUCCACACUGGCCAGCGGCAAUGAGGAAACAGCAUAAACACAAGAGGGGUGGAGGCUGGAAUUACAAAGGGAGGGUGUGGAGGACAACUUCUGAAAAUGGAGAGAGUAAUAAGCCAAGCAGAGGGAACAAUGAUAAACUUAAGCUAUUUAACCAUUUUACAUAGUGUUGCUUUGUACAUGUGGAGGAAAAUCAGAGGGAGAAGCAGUUUGUAAUGCAGUAUUAUUCAUUAAAUUGUACCAGUGCCAGGAAAGUAAUUUAAAACCAAAGCAAUGUUACCACUGAAUUUUUAUCAAGUCAUUGUUUUAUCUGCAUAAACAGAGAAAUGCCCACACAUGAUUGCAAAUGUUGUAUCUAACAUAAGUAAGAAGAUGAUUAACACCCAGGGGUGGGGGGCCGGUGGCAGUGAGCUAAAGCAAGCUCCUAGCCAACAAAGCAAAGUGGACAUCAAAUUGCAAGCCUUAAACUGCUCUGCUCAAUGGCAUGUUUUGACUUGUGACACCGGUAAGCUCCCCAAAUAUUUUUAGGACUUUACUGGAAGUGUCAAAUGGAGCAAAAGCUUAAGAUUUCACUGAAGGUUUAGUAAUGCAGCCAUGAGAUUAGAGCUGUGCCCAUGAAGCCUGAAGAGACGAGCAAAUUGCGAGGGUUUAUUCAAGUCAAACGAUUUCAGUUGCUGUUACUUUUCUGUUAGGCUGAGGUAAAUACAGGUAGAUUAACAAAUAAACUCAUAGAUAUUAGAGACAGACAGAUAAUCUAGUGGUUAAAAUUCUAAGAAGACUUGUACCAGGCUAUUUGCAUGUGAAUUCCAGCUCUGAGGCUUACUUGAUGUGUAAGCUUAGGCAAGAUAUUUCACACUUCUCCUGCCUUAGUUUCUUCAUUUUCAAAAUGGAAAUUAUCGAAUUAUACCUCACAGGGUUGUUGUGAGGAUUAAAUGAGAUAAUGUAUAGUGUUUAAAAUGGUAUCAGUUAAACAGUGCUCAAUAAAUGAUAUUAUAUAUUUGAAUAUUUUAAUCAGAUAAAAGGCAGUAAUACUACAUUGCAUUUCUUUACUCACACUCUUUUGGGCAAGUAAGCACCCUCAUAUGGUACAGAAUUUCUCCCAGAUCGUCCUAAAUUGAUCCAACCCUGAGGCUUUCAGCCUUCCAAAGAAUGAAAUCAGUGCCUCUGGUGACAUAAAGGCCAGGGGCUCCCUGUAUAAUAUUCAUGGUACUCCAAGCUUCGCUGGCCCUUUUAGCUUUAUAGAAACAAUAUACAGAAUUAUCAACCUUCAUCACAGCCCCAGGUUUUUAAAUAAACUUUUAAGAAAAUACUAUAUCUCUUUUUAAUUCUCCAGUCACUUGUUUUUUUCUUAUGAUUUUAUUUCAAAAUAGUAUAGAUGUAGCUUUGCCAAUGUAUUUUAGGGUUUCAGUCUCCCACAGUUUAACAUUUGGCCCUCUCUGGAACACAUAUCCCUUUCAAACAUUGCCCAUGCUCUUUUAAAGUAUCAUUAGAAUUAAAUGUUCUAAGUUAUACGUAGUUGUACUGUUAGGAAAAAGAAUCUGAUUACCCCCCAAAAUGUAUAGAAAUAGGUUCAUAAUAGCUUUAGGGACAUGAUUUUGACUUUAAACAACCCAGAAAAUGAGAUGCUAGUUUAUUUUUGAGAACUUCUAAAGGAGAUUUCUAAAUCUCCUCUGGCGGCAGCUUUGCAGUGAUAUAAAAUAAUCAUUCCCAGUGGGAUGAGAAAAAUGCUGAGAAUCAGACAGUGGUUCAAUCACAGGUACCUCCAAACCCAACUUCCCAAAUCACUGCAGCUGGGAUGCCAAGGUUGGGGUGGGGCGUGGGGCUCACAUUUCUAUUCUGAAAUCACCACAUUGACUCAAACCAAACAGAUAAUUUUUAAAAGUCUGACUUUUUUUGGACAUGGAUGACUUAGAUUUGCUGUCCGUAUCGACCAGACUUUUUAAACUUCACAACUUCACUUGAACUAUUCAAGAAUCAUUGAUGAUUUUUUUCUUAGAGUUUUCAAAAGUAAAGUCACUUGACUCAGUUGCUCCAAAAAGUCCAGUCAGAGGUUUAAAGCUAGUAUUGAGGGAUAAGAUAUCAGCUGAUACUAAAUCAUACUGCUCUGAAAAUAAUAUAGUUUAGAAUUGCAUGCUGUGGAAAAGACGAUUAGCCGCCCUCUGAAAUCCAUUCUUCUCUUAGGCACACAGCUAGACUGCAUUUCCCAGACUAAGACUGCAUUUAGUUAGGUGAAACAUGAGCUCAAGUUCUAUAUUGAAAUGUGAGCAGAAGGUCUGCCGUUACUGGGCUGGGAUUUUUAAAAGAGUAGCCAUGCCCGCUCCAUGUUCUUUUUCUCUUUCUGCUCGACAAAAAGGAAUCCAGCAGUUCUAGGGUAAGAGCUCCCUGCUGAAGACGGCAGAACUUCUGCCAGUCACGUUUUCAAAUGUCUGCAUAGAGAAGAGGUACCCGCAACAAGGAUCUUGCCUUGGACUGAUGUACGGCGUGUAUUGCGCAUGUACUUUGGGUGGCGCUGUGCUGCAUCAGCUGGAAGGGAUCCAGAGAAAAAGACACAGUCCUCUUUGAAGACACCCAGAGACAGUUCCUCUUUACUGUGCCCUGGGACCAAGGCAAGCAGGCACAAAGGAACGGCUUCUGAAACAAGUAGACAAGCAUAGGCACAUACCAGCGUAUGCUUUCAGUAAUAAGGAAGAAGAAAAUGAAUAUAACGGCUCAGAAACUUCCAAUAUCCCACCAAAUCUGUACUCUGGAGACUCCCAAGCAGACUGUAUAAGCUAAUUGCCUCAAAGCAUCAAAAUCCAAAUCUAAAAUCAUAUCCUGUCCUUUCUUCUGGCACCUAUCAAGAUAAUUCUGAGGGAUUUAUAAACUCAUAUUUGGAGCAAAUGUUGCUUCCUGGACACGUUAGAUUCCAAACAACUGAUAAGCGUAUGGAGAGCAAAUGAAACAACAGGGUGUGAUCAAGGAAAGAAGAGUGGUGUUCACAACACGAACCAUGUGAUGCACCUAUGCCCCUUUUGCCUUCUUCUAUGAUUGUGAGAUUCCUGAGGUUUCACCAGAAGCCUGACAGGUACAGGUGACAUACAGAACAGUAAGAUGAAUAAAUCUGUUUUCUUUAAACAUUACCCAG